ACUGGCUGUGGCAAUAUUCAAUUACUAGUUAUGGUCAGUCAAACCUUUACAUUUCAGUGGGAGUUUUGCAUUAAUCAGGAAUAAAGGAUCUGAAAGAUAGACUGUCACUUCUGCAGAUCCACUCUACUUCUUGCCUAUGGAGACUUCAGAGAGGGAACAAAUCUUCAAACAGAGACCAGAGUUGUAGGGAAUUUCCAUACCUGGAGAUCUUCAACACUCAGAAAAGUACCUGAGCAACCUGAUCUCACCUGUGUUGAGCUGUGUAUGUUGGACUGGAAGACCUCCACUUUGGUGUCCCUCCCAAAAUAAAAUUAAUUUAUUUAUA